rnacentral:rRNA from 1 species
GAGUGAUGAAGGCCUUAGGGUUGUAAAGCUCUUUCACCGGAGAAGAUAAUGACGGUAUCCGGAGAAGAAGCCCCGGCUAACUUCGUGCCAGCAGCCGCGGUAAUACGAAGGGGGCUAGCGUUGUUCGGAAUUACUGGGCGUAAAGCGCACGUAGGCGGAUAUUUAAGUCAGGGGUGAAAUCCCAGAGCUCAACUCUGGAACUGCCUUUGAUACUGGGUAUCUUGAGUAUGGAAGAGGUAAGUGGAAUUCCGAGUGUAGAGGUGAAAUUCGUAGAUAUUCGGAGGAACACCAGUGGCGAAGGCGGCUUACUGGUCCAUUACUGACGCUGAGGUGCGAAAGCGUGGGGAGCAAACAGGAUUAGAU